CUCCCCUGUUCAUGUUCUGUCUCUGUCUCAAAAAUAAAUAAACGUUAAAAAAAAAAAAAAAAAGAUUAGGCAAUACAGCAAUAAUAGUUGAUCCCAAGAGUUCAACGACCUAACAUAGCAUAACCAAUGUGGGGUGACAGAGGUCCCCCCGCGCAGCGAGAGUCUGAGCAGAGGGAGUCAUGCCAUCUCGUAACAGGAAAUGACAGAGCUGGACGGUCGCUCACAGGUUUCAAAUCUUCCGCGCACAGCCCAUUGGCCACGGAUGGUCACGUGGCCCUGCCUGCCCGCCAGGGGACCAGGAAAUGUGGGGGUGCACCUGCCUACUGGUUAUCCGUAAAUGUCUCUGCUGCGGAGAGUAGCUGUGAAGUCCCUACAACAAUAGGAUUAAAUUCUACCUAGAAGGCUGUGCUGUGAGCCAGAACAUGACGAAAGAAAAGAAAUUAGCAAGCUUCAUAAGUAUGUUAAAGACGUUAGAGCAGCAAGCUGAGACUUUCUCCUGGAUCCCAACAAAAGGACGAGGAGAGCAGUGAGGAGGCAAUGAUCGGCUACAAGGGGACCCAGUGUUAUGUAGGGUGUGUCCCUGUAACAGCAAACCAUCUUCGAGCAAAACCAAACCGCGGAAAGAGUAUCUUUGAAGCCAAAUAGAAACCCAGUGGGGAUGAAGGAUGUUUUAAGUAAGAUGAGAAUCCUCGGGCGUGCAACAGCGUCACUGUUGUGACAGACGGUACUUUCCAAAGAAGAUGACGCCGGCUCUGACAGAGUGACAAUGACAGACCUCUACAGAGAGGUGGAGGAGUUUCUAUUCUGUGCCCUUGAUUCUGAGUGGGCCCGGGAUUACGACAGAACUGAACCCCAUGACUUCCGAGGCAAUGUUAAGAAGGGGUGUUAACACCCCAGCAGCAACGAGCCUGCGUGGCCCCUAGAUCUUGGUUUCUAAUACCAUUCUCCAAAAAAAAGGAACAGGGCUCCUUGGAGAAAUGGCUGAUGCUGGCACCGGCGCAGGGAAUACACGCAACGAGCCUGGAACAUCUAGUGCGAAAAGGUAGGCAAGUGCGCGCGUGCGCGCGCGUGCACGCACGCGCGCGUGCACACGCACACACGUACAGUGAAUGAUGGGGGAAGGAAAGGGUCAUGAAGCCCUUCUGAAAGAGCUCCCAGUGGCCAAAUCUGGAGCAAUUCAAGCCACAAAAUAAAUACCACACUGUUGGAUGAUACCCCAAGGUAGAAAAUAAAUAACCGUGGGUCAACACUGAUACAAACCAACGAUGGUAUAAAUAAAUAAAUAAAUAAAUGGGGGGGAAAUAGACACAUCUCCCAUGUAGAAGAAUUCCACAUAAUUUAUGCAGAUGCUCUGCCCUCGAGGAGGUGGAGCGUAACUCCCCGCUCCCUAAGCGCAGGCUGCACAGAGCUGGUGACUUCCUUCCAAAAAGUACCAUGUAGAGAAAGGAAAGGACGAGUAAUUUUGCAGUGGGGACACCUAGCAAACGCCGCCACAGACAAGUGGUCAAGAUCAACGUCGACAGUGACUGGUCGUGCUGAUGGUACCUGCUCUUGAUGUGAUGCGUUCAGAAGGGCCCUUCCCCAACCCACACCCCAGCCCCAUCACGAGAAAAACAUCAGAAAGAGCCCCACUGAGGGACAUUCUGCCAACAUUCUACUGCCUCACUAGUACUCCUGGAAAUUGUCAAAGCCAUCCAAACAGGGAAAGUAAGAGAACCCGUCACAGCCAAGAGGCACUAAGGACACACGCCAGCUAAAGGGCGCAGACCCCGGCUGCCUUGUGCUGACACAAGUCCAGCUCCCUGGUGCCAUCCUGUUGAAGAGACCACUCAGACAGACCACACGGAUAGACAGAGAUGCCCAGCGAGCCACAGCCCUUGCUGCCCGGCUGAGUCCUCCCGGUUGUCAGUCUCCCCGGCCCAGGGGCCAGAUGUGUGCGAGGGGGCCUUUCAGAGGUCCCAGCUCCUGGCCUUCUAGCAGGUUCAGUGGACACCGAGUGCAACAUAGACAAGCCAGCCCCACUGAGCUGUGCUCAAAUUGCAGAGUCAUGCACAAAAUAAGCGUUUUAUGAAGUCCCUAAACACCGUGAUGGCUCGUCACGCAGCAUCACUUAAAUGGAACAACCGGUCUGCGACUUCGACUUUGGUUAUUGAUCGAUUUCCUCUCCACAUCUGUCUUUAGCUCCGCUAGGGGCUGGGCAGUGGACACAGAGAUCCACAAGAGCUGCUGGUGAUCCACAAGUCCCUGCUCUUGAAGAACUCUCGGUUGAGUGGAAGAAGCUAAGCCCCACGAGAGUAAAAACGAAUGCCAACCACACUGGAUUGAGCGAACGGGUGAAGGCAGGACUUCAGAGGCACAGAGAACAGGAUGCAUGACUCUGAGGGAUCCCAGAGGGGAGAGACACGGGGAGAAAGAACAGUGUUUAUUGAGCACCUAAUAUGCUUCACUGUUCUAAGUGGGGUACAAUAUGUAUAUGAAUUCAUCCUCCCAGUUGACACCAUGAUGUCAUUAUAACCACGUUAGAGAGGAGGGAACUGAGGCACAGAGAUAUGAAGGGAUUCGUCAGGGCCCGCCAAGUGGCAGAGAGAGAUGUGAAGGUCCUCUCGGUUUUCCUAUCUAUGAUAUGAAGGUAUUGGAUAAGACGCACACGAAGGAUCCUUGUGCCUCCAAGGCUUAGGUUAUGUGUGGGUUUUGCCUGCCCGGCGUCUGUUCCCCUUCUUCCAGUAACAGAACCCCAGCUUCUAUGAGCAGAACUGCCCCACCUCUACUCUCAGUCAGGAAGGGAAGCACACCCAGCCUCGGCCAGUCACAAUAUCACAUCCACCUUACGCGGUGAUGGGCUCGGGCAAAAAGCACAGAGACUCCAGCCAGACGAAAGAGAGUCUUCUGAGGGCCUUUUGCCAGAAUUCUUAGGAAAGAGGCACUCUGUUUUCCCUGGAGUUGCCAAGGAUGUAAAUUUGGAGCUGUCAGGGGCUGUCAUAAGAAGAAAGUCUGCCUGGAAGUAAAACCAGUUCAGAGGAAGAGGGAGGCCAAGCACUGAUGCCAAGAUCAUCCGAGCACCUAGGUCCAGCCCUGCCUGAAGCCGGAGAGAUCAAUCCUUGGAAUUUUCUGUGGCAUGAGUCAAUAAAUGUGAUCCUUUGAA